rnacentral:misc_RNA from 1 species
UCUCCGUAGGUGAACCUGCGGAGGGAUCAUUACUUAGUGAGGGCCUCCCCGGCCCGACCUCCAACCCUUUGUGAACACAACUUGUUGCUUCGGGGGCGACCCUGCCGUUUCGACGGCGAGCGCCCCCGGAGGCCUUCAAACACUGCAUCUUUGCGUCGGAAUGUAAAACAAAUUAAACAAAACUUUCAACAACGGAUCUCUUGGUUCUGGCAUCGAUGAAGAACGCAGC